UACGUAGGUGGCAAGCGUUGUCCGGAAUUAUUGGGCGUAAAGCGCGCGCAGGCGGUCUUUUAAGUCUGAUGUGAAAGCCCACGGCUCAACCGUGGAGGGUCAUUGGAAACUGGGGGACUUGAGUGCAGAAGAGGAAAGCGGAAUUCCAAGUGUAGCGGUGAAAUGCGUAGAGAUUUGGAGGAACACCAGUGGCGAAGGCGGCUUUCUGGUCUGUAACUGACGCUGAGACACGAAAGCGUGGGUAGCAAACAGG
rnacentral:rRNA from 1 species